rnacentral:misc_RNA from 1 species
ACUCCAACCAGCCCCCUAAAAAGUAGGUUUCUCUUUUUCUAUUAUUUGGUAGUCACCUCUAGUGACUUUCAAUCAACUGUUCAGUUCUUGUACUUCAGUUGCAUAUAGUUGUUUCAGUUGCAUAUAGUUGUUUUUUUUCUUGGUAAUGACUUAGAACGUAAUUCCUCUGCUGAUUGUUACUGCCUGAUGGAGGAAAUUAAUUAUGCUCAUAUGAAAAAUUAACUUGCUUAUGGGUAAUUUCCAUAAUGAUUGGAAUAUGGAAACUAUUUGGAAGAAUUUUCAAUUUACUAAUUUCUGUGCAAAUGUUUGUAUCUUGCACAGUUAAAAGUGUUUUACCCAUGGAAACUAAUUGGGCUACAUUCAAUAAGAUAUAACAAACUUAACAGAAGGGGUAUUUGUUUUAGGAGGCAGUGAUAUUUGGUCAAUUCAUAUUCAUCGUAUUAUAGGAUGUAAUCUGAAGUUGACCAGAAUUAUUUUUUUUUCUUUUGAAACAUGCAUCGUAUUAUAGGAUGUAAUCUGAAGUUGACCAGAAUUAUUUUUUUUUCUUUUGAAACAUGCUUGCAGGUUGGAGAUAAAGCAAGCAGCAG